rnacentral:snoRNA from 12 species
CUACGGGGAUGAUAAAAACUGAACUCUCUCUUUCUGAUGGAUUGGUGGAGAAGUGUAUACAUUCUGAGUAGC